rnacentral:rRNA from 1 species
ACACAUUCUAGAGCCUAAUUCAUUUUAAUUAACAAUUAAAAUUACAUUCAAAUCCAAAUUUAAAAUUUUAAUGCUAAAAUUUAUCCUUAAAUAAAUUUAUUGUAAUCCAUCUCUUCUUCUAUAAGCUGCACCUUGAUCUGAUUUAUUAUACAAUAAUACAUUCAAAUUAUAUAUUUCUAAAAAUAAUUAACAACGACGAUAUACAAGCAUAAUAAAAGUUUUAUUAAUCGUGGAUUAUCGAUUACAGGACAGAUUCCCCUGAUUGGAAUAAAAAACCGCCAAAUUUUUUGAUUUUAAAGAACAUAACUUAUAUUUAUCAAGUCUAAACGUCUACAUCUAGAAUAAUGGGGUAUCUAAUCCCAGUUUACAUCCCAGAUUUCUUAACUUCAUAACCAAUAGUUUAAUUAAAUAAAAAUAGGAUUUCACCCAAUAUUUUAACAUAGUAAAAAAUAAUUAUUAUUAAUUAAGUAUAAAACUGAAAAAAAAUAGUAGCAUUAUUUGUUUAACCGCA